AGGGUUUGAUCRUGGCUCAGAACGUACGCUGGCGGCACGCCUAACACAUGCAAGUCGAACGAAGUAGCAAUACUUAGUGGCGAACGGGUGAGUAACAUGUGGGUAUCUGCCCUUCGGCCUGGAAUAACACGAGGAAACUUGUGCUAAUACCAGAUAAGUCUUUUAAGAGAAAGCUUUAUGCACCGAUGGAUGAGCCCGCACCUGAUUAGUUAGUUGGUGAGGUAAUAGCUCACCAAGACAAUGAUCAGUAGCUGAUUUGAGAGGAUGAUCAGCCACAUUGGGACUGAGACACGGCCCAAACUCCUACGGGAGGCAGCAGUGGGGAAUCUUGCACAAUGGGGGAAACCCUGAUGCAGCGAUGCCGCGUGAGUGAAGAAGGCCUUUGGGUUGUAAAGCUCUUUCGUCGGGGAAGAAAAUGACUGUACCCGAAUAAGAAGGUCCGGCUAACUUCGUGCCAGCAGCCGCGGUAAUACGAAGGGACCUAGCGUAGUUCGGAAUUACUGGGCUUAAAGAGUUCGUAGGUGGUUAAAAUAGUUGGUGGUGAAAUCCCAGAGCUUAACUCUGGAACUGCCAUCAAAACUUUUUAGCUAGAGUAUGAUAGAGGAAAGUAGAAUUUCUAGUGUAGAGGUGAAAU
rnacentral:rRNA from 1 species